rnacentral:misc_RNA from 1 species
UCCGUGUUAACCACGGCAGUCUCGCGUGAAAAGUAACACACGAUAAGGGUUGCGCUCGUUACCCCACUGAAGGGAACAUCUUACGACACGAGCUGACGGCAACCAUGCAGCACCUGUCCAACGAUCUCGAAGCUUCCAGCGUUUCUGCUGGAAUACAGUUGGAUUUCUAAUCUAGGUAAGGUUCCUCGUUUAGCAUCGAAUUAAACCACACGCUCCACCGCUUGUGCGGGCCCCCGUCUAUUCCUUUGAGUUUUAGUCUUGCGACCGUACUACCCAGGCGGCAAACUUAACGCGUUAGCUUCGACACUGAGAGAGUCGAUUCUCCCAAUGCCUAGUUUGCAUCGUUUACGGCAUGGAUUAC